rnacentral:tRNA from 1 species
GGCUCUGUGGCGCAAUGGAUAGCGCAUUGGACUUCUAGCUGGGGAAGGUAUUCAAAGGUUGUGGGUUCGAGUCCCACCAGAGUCG